GCUCAGAUUGAACGCUGGCGGCAGGCUUAACACAUGCAAGUCGAACGGUAACAUAAAGAAGCUUGCUUCUUUGAUGACGAGUGGCGGACGGGUGAGUAAUGCUUGGGAAUCUAGCUUAUGGAGGGGGAUAACUACGGGAAACUGUAGCUAAUACCGCGUAGUAUCGGAAGAUGAAAGUGUGGGACCUUCGGGCCACAUGCCAUAGGAUGAGCCCAAGUGGGAUUAGGUAGUUGGUGAGGUAAAGGCUCACCAAGCCGACGAUCUCUAGCUGGUCUGAGAGGAUGACCAGCCACACUGGGACUGAGACACGGCCCAGACUCCUACGGGAGGCAGCAGUA
rnacentral:rRNA from 1 species